UAGGGAAUCUUCGGCAAUGGACGGAAGUCUGACCGAGCAACGCCGCGUGAGUGAAGAAGGUUUUCGGAUCGUAAAGCUCUGUUGUUAGAGAAGAACGUUGGUAGGAGUGGAAAAUCUACCAAGUGACGGUAACUAACCAGAAAGGGACGGCUAACUACGUGCCAGCAGCCGCGGUAAUACGUAGGUCCCGAGCGUUGUCCGGAUUUAUUGGGCGUAAAGCGAGCGCAGGCGGUUCUUUAAGUCUGAAGUUAAAGGCAGUGGCUUAACCAUUGUACGCUUUGGAAACUGGAGGACUUGAGUGCAGAAGGGGAGAGUGGAAGUCCAUGUGUAUCGGUGAAAUGCGUAGAUAUAUGGAGGAACACCGGUGGCGAACGCGGCUCUCUGGUCUGUAACUGACGCUGAGGCUCGAAAGCGUGGGGAGCAAACAGG
rnacentral:rRNA from 1 species